rnacentral:lncRNA from 1 species
AAAAAAAAAAUCUGAAACUCAUGUCAUCUGUGGAAACUGCACUCAAACACAGGAGGCGGCGGUGGUGGUGAAAGGAAAGCUUUUGUGGUCUACUCUAAAAGUCACAACUUCUACGAGGAAUUCAACCUUUGGAUCGGCUGCACCCAGAUGAUUUCUUCUUCCUAUCCCAUGAAAGCCAACUGCUGUGAAACAUACUGUGGAACCAGAGAGUUUCCUGUUUGGCAUCCAGGGCUUAACUCGUGUCUGUGUCAAGAGAGAACGAUUAUAUUUCUUCUAUCACAUUCAAUUAUGUAUAAUAAAGACAAUUUUGGAC